GAGUGAAGUGCACGCGAAGCUGCUGCUGCUGCACUCCCAAGAGCCGGCCUCAGCACAGAGUACUGAGUUGUUCAUCACGUGGAGUGGGACCAUCGACUCUCUACACUCAACGACCCAGUUUCAUUACGGGUGGCUGCCUGGAUUCGAACCCAGGUUUCUUCAGUGGUGUCGGCUCAUUGUUCUGAUCAACUGAGCCACCCGGCCAACCAGAUUGCAUAUUUUUGUUAUUGUUAGUUUGUUUUAUAUCAUUCUGUAAGUAUAAUCAAUCCCAUUCAAAUGUUAUUUUGACCUGAAGUUUUUGCAUGUCUGUAGUUUUGGAAGAUCAGGAUGAAUCCAUGAAACUCAUUGCACAUGAGAUAAUCCAUCCUAAGAGUUGACCCACUCUUCAUCUGGGAGUUUAAAAAAAAAUCGACAAAAUAUAUCAUUUAAACAGUGGCCAACGGGUGAAGUGGUCACGUGGCUGACAUGGCCAGGACGUGGCGGUCUACAAGUUGCAGGGGUUUCCAAACUUCAUGGUACGUCGUUCCGAGUUUACCAAAUAACCUCCGUUCAAAUCACAAAUGUAUUCAUUACACACUGCACAUGCGUGACGAUUGAUAAACAUGUCCCACCUGACAUAGAAGGUGCUGAGUUAAAUCAGUCUAUAUGCCACUUGGGAUGUAUUUAUCAAUCAUCAGGCAUGUGCAGCAUGUAAUGACUGAAUGUUUAUAUGAAAGGUAAAUUUGUAAACUACAUUUUUUGUGGACUGUAAGCAUUGUGGUCCAGGAAACUGAGAGAAUAACCUAACAUUGUACAAAGUAUUGUACGCAGUAUAUGUACAAAGUUGACUAUAACUUACUAAAUUGCUGUAUUGCUGCAUUUAUUGAUCACUAUUUUGCCAUGUGAUCCUCACUAUAAUUCUCAUGGCUGUCACACUGGUGUAUAGUCUAAACCCAUCCAAUGUGCCAGCUCACAACCACAGAGCACCACAGUAAACCAGGACGAUGGCACGCUUUACACGGCAACCCACACGACAUUGGACACCUUUUUGUUGUCAUACUGGUGUCCGAAAAUAAUUCGUCUUCAGAGCUCUUCCGUUUCACGUGGCAGGUGUAAAUAAUGGCAGCAGUAUAAUUUGUCGCCUGCAUGAAAUAUUUAUGAUAGCUUCGUGCAGGCUGACAGCAACGUGACAGCAUCGGGGUGUAAAUUGGCCUGAAAACUAUACGGGGUUCAUAAACUGUGAGUGCAAAAACGAUUAUCCAUUAGUUUUCAGGAAAGGGGGUAAAAUUACCAGAAGUUAAAAGAUGCUCGUAAAAACGUCCCAAGGAGACAAUGCAAGUCGUGGAAAUAAAGUCAUCGGUGUUAAGUAAUGGUGAGAGGCGUGAAAUGUGAUGAAUCAGCUUUUCUACAGGGUUUGGAGUGGCACAUACAAGUCAGAAUAUAUAUUUUUUCAGGUGCAGAAUAUUUAUAUUGGAGGAAUCCGAUGAGCUAUGAAGCUCUUUGCCACAGAUGUCGACACGGGGCGGGUGGUCAGAACGUUACAACAAAUACAAAAACACGUUAGCUGUGCAAAGUAUAGGAAAGGUAAACAAAUCACUAAACAAAUAUCAACAAAACUAAGUGGGUUUAUUUAGAGCCCAAUAAAACCACAAAAUCCACCAUCAUGAAUUGCAGUGUAUCUUUCAUGAGGCAUUUCCAUGCAAAACACCAACAUCGUAUACGCUCAUCCGCCAAGAAAGGCGACAGCCAUAGAUUGGUCGUGAUGGAGGAAACAUGCUGCUGGUGUCUGUCAGCGUUUUUUUUUAUUGGCCUCUGUGUUUGACUAGAUUAAUCAUUUGGUUUGGGUUUUAAACAUGUCUCCUUAUUGCAUGUACAUGCUUGUUUUCAUUUUUGUUGUUGCCAUAGUUUUAUACAUCUUAUUGUAUGUUUGUGUGUAUUGAUGUUAUCGAAAUGUGGAUAUAUUGGGAGAUGCAUUCAUAGAUACCCCACUAAAAUAAUGACGACACAUUAAAGGAAAGACAACAUUGUGUAUGUUAGCGCCUCUGCACAUCCCCCGCCAAUCUUCAGUACGCAUUGGUAAAUAGUUCUAUGCCUCUUCUACCUAAGAUAUGGAGCCAUUGCUUUUACAAUGUUAAAUCAGCUGUUGCAAAGAAAGAGGACCGUUAGAAAUGUGUGGGGUAUCUAUAAAAGAAUCACACUGUCGAUGUUUUGCAGUGAGAAUGUGAUUGGUUUGCCUCAUACCCAGGGAUGUUAAACGGUAUUUACAUUGUCAACUUUUUUUUUAUGUAGAUGUUAAUCGUAAGUAAUCCUGAAGGCACACCCUGAUACACAUAUCACAUUAUAUUAUAAAUGAUCAAUUAAGUCCAAGCCAAUUAAAUGGCCAGUGACCAAAUGCAUUACAAGCUAAUUAGACUUGACACAUUUGGGAGGUUGAUCCUUUAUUCCAAAGUUGAUGAAGAUUUCUCUUUUGCACGCACAUUCACUACGUUCAUACGUUCAUUUUUUUACAUUGCACUUUAAAACCAAAUGUGUUUUAGUCUAUUUACAAGAUUGGGUUCCUAGGAUGGAAUGCACAUUAUAUUUUUUUAUAAUUCUAAUUAUAAAAUUUAAUUAUU